CCACUAACACUCACACAUCCAUACCUACCCUGGAUGUGUAGGUCGCUAUUUGCCAAAACUAAAAAAUAACUUCACACAGUGUCUUUUAAUAAUUUAUUUGUUACCAUUCAUAGUGUCAAUCAGCGGAGAAAUAGUUUGCCAAAGACGUUGACAUCGCUUAGGAACAAAAUACGCUGGGGUGGAUAAGUUGCCGGACUACAAAAUACGUGAAUCAGAGGCAAAAAAUCCACUUUCCUUGACAGUGGUCAAUUAUGCUUAGCAACGGUCAGUUAAUCAAAAAUAAUUGACCGCCGGAAGUCGGGAAGGCCCAUGCAAGUGAACGGUGUAAUAAUACAUAAUUGCUCUAUGUAUCCAGUUCAGUUACCAUGGCGACUCGAGCUCUGAACCUGAAACCAACCUGGUACUUAGCAGACUAGCCCCGGAAGAACUCGGACCACGGCUGCACUUCCAACUUUUUUCUAUAGGAUUCUAUAGUGUACAAAACCCCCAGAGAUUCAACCAGGUCAGAGGGAUAAUAUAAACACUUUAAAGAAUCCCUUAUAACGCAUCCAUCUUGUGGUGAAACGUCCGCCACGUCUUGUUUCAUUUCGUAUUUCUCUUUGCUGCGCUAAACUCGGUUUCUGCAGACGCUAGUAUUUCACACUGAGACAUGGCUUGAGUUAACAGGAGAGCAUUUCCUUAAAUCGCUGUAGAAUCAACCAUAAGUAUCAGAUAUUAGUUGUAUCCCCACAUGACAAUGGCGAGAAACACUUCAUAUAAAAUGGUGCAAUGUUCGCCUUUCGAGAAAUCUGUAUUCAGUAAAAGGAAACACACAUUUUUAUAGGUCACAAUAGGUCACAUCCCCCGUCACCCCAACACUAGGUCACAUCCCCCGUCACCCCAAAACUGGGUCACAUCUCCCCUCACCCGUCACACUAGGGAAAACCCCCCUAACAUCCCCGUCACCCCAACACUAGGUCACAUCCCCCCUUCACCUCAACACUAUGUCACAUCCCACAGUCACCCUAACAUUAGGUCACAUCCCCCUUCACCCCAACACUAGGUCACAUCCCCUGUUACCCCAACACUAGGUCACAUCCUCCCUUCACCCUCACACUAGGUCACAUCCCCCUGUUACCCCCACACUAGGUCACAUCCCCCUGUUACCCCAACACUAGGUCACAUCCCCCGUCACCCCAACACUCUGGGUCGGCUUAGCUCAGG
ensembl:lncRNA